GACGAACGCUGGCGGCGUGCUUAACACAUGCAAGUCGAACGGAAAGGCCCUGCUUUUGUGGGGUGCUCGAGUGGCGAACGGGUGAGUAACACGUGAGUAACCUGCCCUUGACUUUGGGAUAACUUCAGGAAACUGGGGCUAAUACCGGAUAGGAGCUCCUGCUGCAUGGUGGGGGUUGGAAAGUUUCGGCGGUUGGGGAUGGACUCGCGGCUUAUCAGCUUGUUGGUGGGGUAGUGGCUUACCAAGGCUUUGACGGGUAGCCGGCCUGAGAGGGUGACCGGCCACAUUGGGGAUGAGAGCCGGCCCGAACUCCUAGGGGGGGAAGGAGGGGGGAAUAUUGCACAAGGGGCGGAAGCCUGAUGAAGCAACGCCGGGUGGGGGAUGACGGCCUUGGGGUGGAAAACCGCUUUCGCCGGUGACGAAGGGGGGGGAAGGGUAAUGGUAAAAAAAGCACCGGUAAAUUCCGG
rnacentral:rRNA from 1 species